GCAUCCUUGGCUUAAUGGUAAAGCAACUGCCCUGUAAGCAGUGGAUUGUGUGUUCGAAUCACACAGGAUGCUCCA
rnacentral:tRNA from 1 species